rnacentral:tRNA from 1 species
AGGUAAUUAGUCUAAGAAAAACAUUUGAUUUCGGCUCAAAAACUUGUGGUUAAAGUCCCACAAUUAACCCU